rnacentral:rRNA from 1 species
GACGAACGCUGGCGGCGUGCUUAACACAUGCAAGUCGAACGGAAAGGCCCCUUUGGGGGUACUCGGGUGGCGAACGGGUGGGUAACAUGUGAGUAACCUGCCCUUGACUUCGGGAUAACUUUAGUAAACUGGGGCUAAUACGGGAUAGGAAUGCUUUCUGCAUUGUGGGGGUUGGAAAGCUUCGGCGGUUUUUGAUGGAGUUGCGGCUUAUCCGCGUGUUGGUGGGGUAGUGGCUUACCAAGGCUUUGACGGGAAGCCGGGCUGAGAGGGCGACCGGCCACAGUGGGACUGGGAUACGGCCCAGACUCCUACGGGAGGCAGCAGUGGGGAAUAUUGCACAAGGGGCGGAGGCGUGAUGCAGCAACACCGCGUGCGGGAUGACGGCCUUCGGGUUGUAAACCGAUUUCAGCAGGGGCGGAGCUUGUGGUGACGGUACCUGCAGAAGAAGCACCGGCUAACUACGUG